rnacentral:lncRNA from 1 species
ACUGAUAAAAUUGAGAAUGGAAAUGGGGAAUGUGCCAAAGAGACAACAACCCGACCAUAGAAAAAAACAACAUCAGAAGGUCACCAACAGGUCUUCAAUGUAGCGAGAAAUUCCCGCACCCGGAGGCGUCCUUCAGCUGGCCCCUAAACAAAUAUAUACUAGUGCAGUGAUAAUGAACGCCAUACUAAUUUCCAAAUUGUACACAAGAAACUAAAAUUAAAAUAAUACAAGACUAACAAAGGCCAGAGGUUCCUGACUUGGGACAGGCGCAAAAAUGCGGCGGGGUUAAACAUGUUUGUGAGAUCUCAACCCUCCCUCUAUACCUCUAGCCAAUGUAGAAAAGUAAACGCAUAACAAUACGCACAUUAAAAUUCAGUCCGAGUCUGAUGUCAGAAGAUGUAACCAAAGAAAAUAAACAAAAUGACAAUAAUACAUAAAUAACAACAGACUACUAGCAGUUAACUGACAUGCCAGCUCCAGACUUCAAAUAAACUGACUGAAAGAUUAUGAUUU